AUCCCUUGCAUUUAUGCUGCACAAGGAGGGAAUAUAUCCAAUUAUCACUACGUAACUGAGGCGAGUCUUUCCAGUUUUGUAAAAUAAUGUUAAUUGCUAUUACCAAUGUACCUCAAAGUUUUCCAGUGUUCUUUUCAUUUUAUUCCUUACAGUAACUGAUAUGCAUAUCAAAGGCAUAUUCAAUAUUAAUUUAGUUCUUGUGAUUUUCUUGGAAUAAGCUGUAGCUUUCUUUUACGUCAAGAAGAUGAAGAAGCCUUGUAGGAGAGUAUGGCAAACAUGUCCUGCACAGAGCGAGAACACCCCCCAACAACAAUAAAAAUAACACUGAUGUUGAGACAACUCCAGCAAUCAGUCCUGUGAAAUUCUGAUCUUGCAGAAUCAUCACUUUCCCAAUAA